rnacentral:tRNA from 1 species
GCAUUGGUGGUUCAGUGGUAGAAUUGUUGCCUUCCACACAGGAGACCCGGGUUCAAUUCCCGGCCAGUGCA